UAGUUUUCUUUUUUGGUGGUAUCUCUGUCUGGUUUUGGAAUGAGGGUGAUGGUGGCCUCAUAGAAUGUCUUUGGGAGUAUUCCUUCUUCUUCAACCUUUUGAAAGAGUUUAAGGAGGAUGGGCACCAAUUCCUCUUUAUAUGUUUGAUAGAAUUCACCUGUGAAGCCAUCUGGUCCUGGACUUUUAUUUGUAGGGAGUGAUUUUAUGACCUCUUCAAUUUCAUUUCUAGUGAUCGGUCUGUUCAGUUGGUCUGUUUCUGCUUGAUUCAGUUUUGGCAGGCUGUAAGAUUCUAGAAAAUUGUCCAUUUCUUCCAGAUUGUCAAACUUGUUGCCAUAUAGUUGUUCAUAGUAUUCUCUUAUGGUUUUUUGUAUUUCUGCUGUAUCCGUUGUGAUUUCUCCUUUUUCAUUUAUAAUUUUGGUUAUUUGGGUUCUUUCUCUCCUCUUUUUAGUGAGUCUGGCCAGGGGUUUGUCAAUUUUGUUCACCUUUUCAAAGAACCAGCUCUUGGUUUUAUUAAUUUUCUCUAUUGUUUUUUGAGUCUCUAUUUUAUUGAUUUCUUCUUUGAUCUUUAUAAUUUCCUUCCUUCUGCUGACUUUAGGACUUUUUUGUUCUUCUUUUUCUAAUUCGUUUAGGUGGAGGGUUAAGUUGUCAAUUUGGGAUCUUUCUUCUUUUUUGAGAAAGGCCUGUAUUGCUAUAAAUUUCCCUCUGAGCACUGCUUUCGCAGCAUCCCAUAGAUUUUGAGAGGUUGUGUCUUCAUUAUCAUUUGUUUCAAGGUAGUUUUUAAUUUCCUUCUUGAUUUCCUCAUUGACCCAUUGGUUUUUUAGUAGCAUGUUGUUUAGUCUCCAUGGAGUAGGUUUUUUCUCUUUGCUUUUCCCAUGGUUGAUUUCUAAUUUCAUGGCAUUGUGGUCAGAGAAGAUACUUGAGAUAAUUUCUAUGCUCCUAAAUUUAUUGAGAUUCGCUUUGUGUCCCAAUAUGUGGUCGAUUCUUGAGAAUGUUCCAUGAGCAUUUGAGAAGAAUGUGUAUUCUGAUUUUUUUGGAUGUAGUGUCCUGAAGAUAUCAAUUAAGUCUAACUUUUCUAUUGUUUCCUUUAGGAUCUCUGUUGCUUUAUUGGUUUUCUGUCUAGAGGAUCUGUCCAUUGAUGUGAGGGGGGUAUUUAGGUCUCCUACUAUGAUUGUAUUCUCAUCAAUAUCUCCCUUUAUGUCUGUUAAUAUUUGUUGUAUGUAUCUGGGUGCUCCUAUAUUUGGGGCAUAUAUGUUGAUGAUAGUAACAUCCUCUCCUUGGAUGGAUCCCUUAAUCAUUAAAUAGUGUCCUUCUUUGUCUUUCUUUAUGUCUUUUGUUUUAAAGUCUAUUUUGUCUGAUAUGAGCGUUGCGACUCCUGCUUUUCUGUCAUGUCUAUUGGCGUGAAAUAUUUUUCCCCACCCUUUCACUUUCAAUCUAUAUGUAUCUUUUGUCUAAGCUGAGCUUCUUGUAGGCAGCAUAUUGAAGGUUUUUGCCUUUUUAUCCACUCAGCCAUUCUGUGUCUUUUGAUUGGGGCAUUAAGUCCAUUGACAUUUAAUGUGAUAAUUGAUAGAUGAUUAUUUACUGCCAUCUUGAACCUCUUGUUCCAGUUGAUUCUAUGGUUCGCCAUUCUUCCUUUCUUUUUUUGGUUGGAUGAUCUCCAGUGUCUUUUUGUUUGUUUGUUUGUUUGUUUCAUUUUUUUGUGAAUGCAGUGUUUGGUUUUGGCUUGUGGUUGCCCUGUUUUUUAAGUAUACCAACCCCUUCCCAUAAUUGUGUGUUUCAGCCUGAUGGUCCUGUACGUUCAAACACUUCAUUACUAUAUUAAAAUUAAGAAGAGAAACAAACAAACAAAAAAGGUCUAUUUAUUUCCUAACAUCCCUUGCCCACAUUUUAUGAUUUUGAUGACUCUUUUUUUCCCAGGUGUUUGAGAAACCUGAACUGUUCUUAGAAAUAUUUUUCUCCAGUGUUGGCCCAUCAUGAAAAGGCCCAGAAAUGGAAAUAGGAACUUAAUCUCUUAUUAUGAAGAGAUUAUUGAGGUUGGAAUACUGAAACUCAGCAGUAACAAUUGUAUUGGAUCCAGGUAAAAGGGUUCACUAAAUGGCCUGGUAUUUUUUCUGGAAAGGUCAAGAUUCAAAGCAGAGAGAACUCUAGUAGGAGACUGUCAUCCUACCAUCCACACCAAAGACUGAGAAAAUUGAUAAAGGGAAUUGACAUGUACUGACCACCUAGUAUUUGCUAGACAUUGAAAAAGGCACUAUGUAUAUAUUCCUUCAUUUGUACAAUACAAUUUUCCUGUGACGUACAGUAGGAAAACCACCGAGGGAUAUGUAGCUCCUGCAGUCCAAGAACAUCAAGUGUGAUGAUGGAGGUACAUGAGAUGUCAGUUGUAACUACAUAUGAUAAAUGCUUAGAUAUGGAGUACAUACUGUUUCAUUGGAGCAUAUACAUUUAUUCCUGCCUUGGAAAAUUGUGAGGUCUGGAAAUGUUUUAACAGAGAAUGUGACAUCUGAUAUGAGUCUUUUUAUAUCAUCUAAUAUCAGAAUACCGUGUUGUGCAUAUUAUUUCUAUUCACUAGUGAGACUGAAGUACAGAAAGCUGUACAGUCUAUAUAAGGUCAUAUAAUAAUAAUAGCAAAUUUUUAUAUGGCUCUUAUUCUACAAGUGUUAUUAUAAUCUUCCAUAACACUCUAACAUGGAUGCUUUUGUUAUUUCACUUUUACAGUUAAGAAAACCAAGCCCUGCAGAGUUAUGUAAUUGUUCCAAGUUUAUAUGUUCAUAAAGGCAGUGUUGGGAUUUGAACCAAGACAGAUAAGCUGUAAUAGUGUCUAUGUGCUUAACCACUGUAGCAUACAUUCUCAUGGUUGAUCAUUAAACCAGGAUUUAAAACUCAGCAGUCAGACUCCAGAACCCAUGUUGUUACUGACACCAUGAGACUGGCAUUUGGAAAAGAUUAUUUUGACUAUAGUAAAAACAGUGAACUGAAAUGAGAUAGACUUGGAGACAGAAAGACCAAAGAGAAGAAAGCGUGGAUGCUGGUCUUAAUUAUCCUCAAGUAAUGGCAGCUAACAUGUACAGCAGCAUACAGGUUCAAGAGAUUUUAGCAAUUAAAAAGAUCAGGACUUGGUGAUUAAUUAACAUGGAGUAUGAAGGAAAUAAGAAAGUCAGGGAUCACUCCAGGGCUUUUUGUUUGACUAAAUGAAACAUUGAUAAAUGAGGUGAAGAAUACAGGAGGGAGAAGAAGAUUUAAAGAGAAAGUUGUUGAGUUUUUCAUUCUUUUUAAAUUUUCUGUUUGGAAUGCCUGUAAGGGACUUGAAGGAAGAUGUCCAGAAAGCAGGGCAUUUGUGACUCUGGAACUCAGGAGAAAGGUCUGGACUGGGAAAUAGAAAAAAGGACCACACAAGGAAAUAGAGGAUUGACAAGCAUAGAGGAUUGACAAGAUACAGCUGAGGUUUUAGAAUGAAAUGUAUCAUGGCCUAAAUCUAUACAGUUGUGUGGAGGAAGAAGAGGGAGAAGAAAAGAGAAAGGAAAAAUCUUGGAAGGCAACAGAAGGAUAAAGAUUAUGAAUAGUUAAAAGGUAAUAACUCUUUCCUGUUUGCCUGCUCACCUUCAGGGCCAAUUCUUUGUGCUGUUUUACAAAUUUGGAAGGGAGGAGAAUUGAAAGAAGCUGAGAAGGCUUGAUCGAUUUACGUUAGGAAGUUAGAGGGAGAAAACAAUCAAUCCAGAAAGACUGGAGGAGGGGAUGUAAUAAAGGAAAAUGUCAUAUUGGUGGUUCUUGGAGAGAGAGUCUGAGGAAGAUUUGAGGGUGUGAGAUAAGAUUCUAGCACAGCCACCCUGCUCUAUGACCUAAGGAAGAGACAAAAGAGAAUUUUAAGAUCUUUUGUUAUACAUUAGCAAUGAAAUCCUAUAUUAGUGCAUCUUCAUUAGAGUUCAGUACAGAUUUAAAAUAUCUGUUCACUUUUCAAUACUUUUUGAAUAUAGGUUGCUGUUUUGCUUGUUUGUUUUUAUCUGAACAUGGCUUUCUAAGUCUAGCCAAAAUUUCUCUAUUUCUUUAACAUAGGCCUAAUUUCUGGGAAGAGGUAAGUUUCUUGCUAUUGGGGAGUUUAUAUUCUAGAAUGUAUGUGAGGUGGUAGGCUGAAGGUAGGGAAAGUGGUGUGGGAAAGAGAAGAAAUAAAUACUUAAUACAUUUGGAAAAAAAAAUAGGAAGGAUUAGAAGAUAAUCCAUAUGAUGUCUUGGACUAGGGUAAAUGAGGAAAGAAGGGUUUCAAGAAAAGUGUGAAAGCUUUUCUCUUUCGAUUUUUGUAUCCAAAUCAAGCAAAGGCAGUACAAAUAUGAAAAAUUAUAGACCAAUCUCAAAUGAAAACUGCGAUACAAAAGAAUCCCAAAUAAAGGAGUUCUUGCUGUAAUGCAAUGGGUUAAGGAUCUGGUGUUGCUGCAGCUGUGGCAUAAAGUCUCAGUCGUGGCCCAGAUUUGAUUCCUGGCCUGGGAACUUCCAAAGGUCAUGAGUGUCAAAAAAAAAAAAAAAAAUCCUAAAUAAAAUAUUUGCAAAAUGAAAUAAGUAAUGUUUUUGUUUGAGUGUUAGUAUCUCCAGACCAUGUAGGCUUUAAUAGAAAGAACUCAAGAAUGGUUAAAGUUUUUAAAAAUCUAUCAAUGAUAUCCUUUGAACAAAAAGUGCAAAACUAUAUGAUCAUCUCUGUAUUGAAUGUAUGAAAAACAUUCAGUAAAAUUCAAUAAUUAGAAAAACUUAGUAAAUUAGGAAUAGAAGGAAAAUUCCUUAAUCUGAUAAAUGGUAUCUGUAGAAAUUAAAUAAAUAAAACAAAAAACAGCAAGCAUGCCAUUUGAAAGUCUGGAAAAAUGAAAAGGUUGCCUGUUUUUCCAACUUUUCAGCAUACUAGAAGUUCUACCCAAUAUAAUAAUAAAAAAAAUGUAUAGUUUGGUUAGAAAGACACAAUGUCAUCAUGCAGAUAUUACUAUUAUUUAUAUACAACUAAAAGAAGAUAUAAGCAACUUUGCUGGAUGGAAAACUCAAAUCUUGGGGGUUCCUGUCCUGGCUCAGCAGAAAUGAAUUUGACUAGCAUCCAUGAGGAUAUAGGUUCACCCCUGGCCUGACUCAUAGGGUUAAGGAUCCGGUGUUGCAGUGAGCUGUGGUGUAGAUCGCAGGCGCAGCUCGGAUCCUGCAUUGCUGUGGCUGCAGUGUAGGCCAGCAGCUUCAGCUCCAAAUCAGCCCCUAGCCUGGGAACCUCCAUAUGCCACCGGUGUGGGCCUAAAAAGACAAAAGACAAAANAAAAAAAAAAAAAAAAAAAGAAAGAAAGAAAGAAAAGAAAAAGAAAGAAAGGAAAAACCCAAAUCUUAACUUUCCUAUCUAAUAAUAAUUUUUAAAAGGAUAAAAAGAACAUCAGUAAUAACAAAAAUUAUACCAAGGAUAGACAUAAAAGAAAUUUCAUGAGCAGUUUAUCUGAAGAAAAUUAUGAAGUUAUAAAGCUUUGCCAAGAGAUUUUUAAAAACACAUUAACAAAUAGAUAUAUGUUGGUUUGACUGAAUACAAAAAAGUGCAAAUAUCCACAUUAGUCUAUAAAUAUAAUGUGAUUCAACAGUAAAAUGAAUGAAUUUACUAAACAGAUAGUUAUUCAGGUACUGUCCUAUGUCAAACUGAAAACUAUUGGGAUAUGGGAAAAAACAGUGAAAUCUCUGUAUUCAUUGAGCUAACAUUACAUGAUUCCAAGCUUCACAGAUUAUUUUUUCUUUUUUUUUUCUUUCUUUUUUUUUAAAUUAGAAUAUAAUUGACUUACAAUGUUGUGUAAAUUUCUGCUGUACAGAGUAAUGACCCAUUCACACAUAUAUAUAUACAUAUUCUUUUUCUUAUGCUAUCUUCCAUCAUUUUGCAAGAGAUUGACUAUGGUUAUAGUUCCCUUUGCUAUAAGUAGGACCUCAUUGCUUAUGCAUUCUAAAUGUAAUAGUUUGCAUCUACCAACCCCAAACUCCCUAUUCAUCCCACUUCCUCCCUCCCCCUCCUUGGUAACCACAAGUCUGUUCUCUGUCCCAGAGUCUGUUUCUGUUGUGUAGAUAGGCUUAUUUGUGCCACAUAUAAGUGAUAUCGUAUGGUAUUUUUUUUCCUUUUUACAGCCACACCUGCAGCAUAUGGAAGUUACUGGACUAGAGGUCAAAUCAGAGCUGCAGCUGCAGGUCUAUGCCACAGUCAUAGUACAAUCACACCCAAGCUACAUCUGCGAACUACUUCAUACCUUGCAGCAAUGCUGGGUCCUUAACCCAUUGAGCAAGGCCAGGGAUCAGUCCUCACGGGCACUAUGUUGGGUUCUUAACUCACUGAGCCACAGGGAACUCCCAGUAAAAGUUCUAACAUUUACUUCGAAUGCUCUAAGGAACAAUAAACACAAGAAGUAUGAGGAGGAAGGAUGGUGAAGAGAGGGAGGAAUAAUGCAGGCUUGCCUGUCUAUACAUUUUUAACUUGAUUAUGAAAAUUUUCUUUUAAUUGAGGUAUAAUUGACAUACAACAUUAUAUUAGUUUCAGGUGUACAGUGUAAUGACUCGAUAUUUGUAUAUAUUGCAAAAUGGUCACCACGGUAAGUCUAGUUAACAACCAUCACCAUACAUAAAGAAUUUUCUCUACUUGUGUUGAGAAAUUUUAAGAUUUACUCUUGGAGUUCCCACUGUGGCUCAGUAGUUAACAAACCCAACUAGUAUCCAAGAGGAUGUGGGUUCAAUACCUGGCCUUGCUCAGUGGGUUAAGGAUCCAGUGUUGCUGUGAGCUGUGGUAUAGGUCGCAGAUGUAGCUAGGAUCUGGCGUGGCUAUGGCUGUGGCUGUGGCAUAAGCCAGCAGCUACAGCUCAGAUUGGACCCCUAGCCUGGGAAUCUCCAUAUGCUGCAAGUGUAGCCCUAAAAAGACAAAAAGAAAAAAAAAAAA
rnacentral:lncRNA from 1 species